rnacentral:rRNA from 1 species
AUGGAUGAGCAGUCCAUGUGUAGCGCCUGCGCCAUCCGCUGUGAGUGGUGGCGGCUGCACGUCAUGGAGGCUGUGAGUGGUGGCGGCUGCACGUCAUGGAGGCAGAGCGUGACCCCCUGUUCGAGGAGCUUGCAGCGGAGGCGAUCGCAGACGGGAACGCUGCUCAUGUCGACAACUCUGCAUCGUUUCGCCAGGCCGCAACUACCACUAAGCCGGGCCGUCACGUCUAUCGUGGACCUCACCUCGACGGGCGACGUCCACGACCACGACACUGAUGAAAAGUAG